AUUGAACGCUGGCGGCAGGCUUAACACAUGCAAGUCGAGCGGAGUGAUGGUGCUUGCACUAUCACUUAGCGGCGGACGGGUGAGUAAUGCUUAGGAAUCUGCCUAUUAGUGGGGGACAACAUCUCGAAAGGGAUGCUAAUACCGCAUACGUCCUACGGGAGAAAGCAGGGGAUCACUUGUGACCUUGCGCUAAUAGAUGAGCCUAAGUCGGAUUAGCUAGUUGGUGGGGUAAAGGCCUACCAAGGCGACGAUCUGUAGCGGGUCUGAGAGGAUGAUCAGCCACACUGGGACUGAGACACGGCCCAGACUCCUACGGGAGGCAGCAGUGGGGAAUAUUGGACAAUGGGGGGAACCCUGAUCCAGCCAUGCCGCGUGUGUGAAGAAGGACUUACGGUUGUAAAGCACUCUAAGCGAGGAGGAGGCUACUUUAGUUAAUACCUAGAGAUAGUGGACGUUACUCGCAGAAUAAGCCCGGCUAACUCUGUGCCAGCCGCCGCGGUAA
rnacentral:rRNA from 1 species